ACGAUUGUUCGAAGCUUAACGGCCACCACCGGGAAGCUUUUCCUUGAUCUUGUCCAUCAUCCCCUUCUUCUCGUGGUGCUCACCACCGUAGCCACCAGCAUCAUAUCCGGAUCCCAUGCCGCCCAUCGCUUGAGCUUGACCAGACUGAUCAUGAUGACCUGGCAACUUCUCCUUGAUCUUUUGUGUUAUUCCCUUCUUCCUCCUCCCUCCUUGUCCAUCAUCCUCCUGUUAUACAUAUAACAUUCGAAUUACGCUUCACAUACUAAACUAAAACAUCAUAAAUCUUCUUUAUACACUUGAUACGUACCGAGCUAGAGCUGGAUCCAGAUCCGGAGCGGUGAAGCAUUCCUCCCAAGCCACCACCACUUUCCUUGUGGAGUUGCUCUUGGCCGUGGUGCCUAGCUCCUCCGCCAGUUCCAAAGCCUUCAGUCCCGGUCCCGGUUCCGUAUCCUUGGCCACCGGUUCCGUACCCUUGGCCACCUGAUCCGUACCCUUGGCCACCUGUUCCGUAUCCUUGGCCACCUGUAGCUCCUCCACC
rnacentral:lncRNA from 1 species